GCUUAGCAACUGAAGCUAAGGGGUGGGCAGACAGUGUGUGAACAGUGGGGAAGAGAGAAGCAGGGAGGAGUGUAAAAAUGGAUUUAACGUCCGGCUCAUUCCCAGAUUGGCUACAGCUCUGCUUCUUGCCCAAGACAGUAACAGAGCAGCCCAUUUGGAGCAUCUGGUUUCUUGGCAGAGAGAGAAACAAGAUCUUGUAAACCAUGAGCAGUCUUUCAAAACUUCUGUUCCAGGAGAACACACAUCAUUUCCAUCUAGUUUCUUUAGAAAAACGAUAGACACAUGGCAUUUAAUAAAAUGAAUAAUCAGAAGAGAGAAUUGGCCAGUAAAGAUGAAAGUGAAGUACCAUAUGAGAAACUGUAGAUAUGCAGUUACGGAAACUUAGGGUGAAUGUAUCAACCUGUGAGGAAUGUGGCUGUGAUGAAAACCGUGAAGGUGCCCCAGAGGAAGAGAUGUCUGUAAAAACUAUCCAUUAAAUGAACUCUUGGAGAUAUUUUCUGCAAUCAAAAGUGUAAAAGAUAAAAUGUUGGAAGCUGAUCCAAACUUAGAAAGGAACAUGACAACUCACCAAGGCAUAAAAAAGAUGUUCAGUACUUAUCAUAAGUUAUAUGUUGAUGAGAAGAAGCAUUUUCGAGUAGAAAAGGACAUCGAAUUAAACUGAUUUUCACACUAAAAACAAGUUGAUAGCUAUCAAAAGUUACUCUGAUAAGUGUGAAAUAUGGAGUGCCACAACUGCAAAUCCUGGACAAUGGCAGCUUGUAACUAUUGUAACAGGAGACUGAAUGGCAAGUUUGGCUACAGCACCUAGUCACAGGAAAUGCUGCAUUCCAAAGGUGUUGGACUCUGCAGAAUUGAUGGAGGAAGUUUUACAAAACUAGUGAACCAG